rnacentral:rRNA from 1 species
UGAGGAAUAUUGGUCAAUGGGCGGAAGCCUGAACCAGCCAUGCCGCGUGCAGGAAGGAGGCCCUACGGGUUGUAAACUGCUUUUACCCGGGAAGAAACCGCCCCCUGUGGGGGGCGUUGCCGGUACCGGGGGAAAAAGGAACGGCUAACUCCGUGCCAGCAGCCGCGGAAAUACGGAGGAUCCGGGCGUUAUCCGGAAUUACUGGGUUUAAAGGGUGCGUAGGCGGGGCUUUAAGCCGGCGGUGAAAUGCAGCGGCUCAACCGCUGGAAUGCUGUUGGGACUGGGGCUGUUGGAGACGGUCGGGGCGGGUGGAACUCGUGGGGUAGCGGUGAAAUGCAUAGAUAUCACGAGGAACGCCGGUAGCGAAGGCAGCUCGCCGGGCCGGUAUUGACGCUGAGGCACGAAAGCGUGGGGAUCGAACA